rnacentral:rRNA from 1 species
UACAGAGAGUGCAAACGUUGUUCGGAAUUACUGGGCUUGAAGCGCUCGUAGGCGGCAUCGUAAGUGUCGGGUGAAAUCCCACGGCUCACCCGUGGAACUGCCCGGCAUACUGCGAUGCUCGAGUGUGGUAGGGGAGAGCGGAACUCCUGGUGGAGCGGUGAAAUGCGUAGAUAUCAGGAGGAACACCAGUGGCGAAGGCGGCUCACUGGCCCGAUCCUGACGCUGAGGCACGAAAGCGUGGGGAGCAAACAGG